UCAACCUGAUGAAGGAUGUCACAUAAAUGUGUCAUGUUGGCACAUGUGUGAUGAUUCACCUCUUGGAUAUCUCCUUGUUUUAUUUAUUUAUUUAUUAUUAUUAUUUUUUGAUGUUCUCAUUGUCUAUGUGAGGGAGUUCACCCUUAUAUAAGAUGUGAACAAACAUAAAUCACUCAUGCUUGCCUGUCAGCCUGCUUGGAUGUAUGCAAUUUUGUGUAAUCUUUCAUCUGUAUGUAAUUGAAUAAUAAUGUUGAUUUUCAGCUACAAGGACCGAUUUCUUGCUGCUUUGCCAGCACCUCGUUGAGCAAGUGUUGACUUCAGUCGGCCUGUUUUCACAGCCACUGCAUUCUACUUGUGUGCAAAAAGGCACAAGCUUAAAGUAGACAAGAUUAAGCUUAUUGAGCUAUGUGGCACAUCAGAAUCUGAAUUUACUAGUGUUUUCCUGCAUCAAUUUUCUCAUAAGAUGUUGCUUCUUGUGCAACAGAUUUUGUACAUGCAUGUUUCCAUUUUCACCAAGACACUAAGAAUAAAAGACAAACAACAGAUGACUGUGACUCUGUAACAGCCAAAAAGAAUAUAAUCAUAUUUGUUGAAGUCCACUUCUCUUGUUGUAGAUAAGAACCUACUGAAUCAGAAUGUCGUCAUUAAGUAACAAAGCAUGGAUGGACAAACAUAGGUUAAGUCCAGAAUAUUUGGAUGGACUUGUGCAUUUUAUUGAGUUUACAAAGAACAACGGUGGUGGAUUUGAUCAUUAUUCGUUUCCGUGUGUGAAAUGUAGAAAUGGGAGUGGGAUGUUCACUCUUGGAGAGAUUCAUGAGCAUUUGCUCAUUAACGGUAUGGAUAAGUCAUACACACAUUGGAUUUUUCACGGUGAAAGUCUUGCGAAAAGUAACGAGAAACCAUCAUCAUCGACGUUUGAUGAUCAAUCCGAUGAUGAGUAUCCUAGAAUGGAGGAACUUGUUAAUGAUGCAUUUAGAAAUAUUGGAGAACAUGCUGAUACUCUUAUGGAUGAUC